UUUUUGUAGGUGAUAGUCAGGCAUCAACUUUGAGCCAAUCUAUGAGUUAUAUACUGGGACUAAUAGUUGUCAUUGCUGUACUUGUCAUAAUUGUACUGAUCAUCGCCAUGGUGGUCAUUUACAAGAAGAUGAAGACCAAGAAGAAUUAUCACAUUGAUAUUGAUACUGCAUCAGUUAAUAAUCCUGUAUAUACAGAAACCUAUAUGAUGACUGGCAACAAAGAUGCAGAGUUUGAUGAAGAUGCAUAUGAAAAAAUGAAAUAACUUGUGGUUAACGGAUCCCUUAUCUACUUUUAUACAUAUUGCUAUACUUGCAUGUAGUUAGUUUGCUGAUAAAAUGCUGCUGCUAUUAAACUAUUUUUUGUGUGCUGUCUUUGAUGUGUGCUUUAAUUUGCUUUUGCUUAGUGCUGAACCAAAAUUAGGUCAAUAAGUAAAUUUACGUGUAGAUCUAUUGCAAAUUU